rnacentral:tRNA from 3 species
GGCCCCAUGGUCAAGUGGUUAAGACGGCGCCCUCUCACGGCGCAAUCAGCGGUUCGAAUCCGCUUGGGGUCACCA